rfam:Pristionchus pacificus strain PS312 contig6406, whole genome shotgun sequence.
UCUUCAUUUCGCGCACUCUCUCACCGGUCAGAGAGGCGAGAGAGUGGGUGAAAUGAAGAAA